UGUGGCUAUAUCAUAAUUGGUUAAUGAUCCUGAUUGUGAAUCAGGCCUAUGUGGAUUCGAAUUCCACUAGCCACCCCA
rnacentral:tRNA from 5 species